rnacentral:rRNA from 1 species
CCCUUAGAUGUUCUGGGCCGCACGCGCGCUACACUGAUGCAUUCAACGAGCACCCGCUGGGCCGAGAGGUCCGGCUAAUCUUUGAACGUGCAUCGUGCUGGGGAUAGAUGAUUGCAAUUAUUCAUCUUCAACGAGGAAUUCCUAGUAAACGCAAGUCAUCAGCUUGCAUUGAUUACGUCCCUGCCCUUUGUACACACCGCCCGUCGCACCUACCGAUUGAAUGGUCCGGUGAAAUUCUCGGACGUGGACUUGCGAUGUUAAUUCGGAGCUUGACUGUGAAAGUUAAUUAAACCUUACCAUUUAGAGGAAGGUGAAGUCGUAACA